rnacentral:rRNA from 1 species
GACGAACGCUGGCGGCGUGCUUAACACAUGCAAGUCGAACGGAAAGGCCCUGCUUUUGUGGGGUGCUCGAGUGGCGAACGGGUGAGUAACACGUGAGUAACCUGCCCUUGACUUUGGGAUAACUUCAGGAAACUGGGGCUAAUACCGGAUAGGAGCUCCUGCUGCAUGGUGGGGGUUGGAAAGUUUCGGCGGUUGGGGAUGGACUCGCGGCUUAUCAGCUUGUUGGUGGGGUAGUGGCUUACCAAGGCUUUGACGGGUAGCCGGCCUGAGAGGGUGACCGGCCACAUUGGGACUGAGAUACGGCACAGACUCCUACGGGAGGCAGCAGUGGGGAAUAGUGCACAAUGGGCGGAAGCAUGAUGCAGCAACGCCGCGUGCGGGAUGACGGCCUUCGGGUUGUAAACCGCUUUCGCCUGUGACGAAGCGUGAGUGACGGUAAUGGGUAAAGAAGCACCGGCUAACUACGUG